GUAGCUCAGUGGUAGAGCAUUUGCCUAGCAUUCCAGAGGCCCUGGGUUUAAUUCCCAGC
rnacentral:tRNA from 1 species